AUGAAAUCCGCACCAGCCGCUCCCACAACCAUAUGCGGCCUCGGAGACGACCUUCUGUGCGAGGUGUUCCUCCGCCUGCCCUCCCUCCCGAGCCUCGUCCGAGCCGCCCUCACCUGCCCCGCCUUCCUCCGAGCCGUCCGCUCGUCCCCGUCGUUCCGCCGCCGCUUCCGCGACCUCCACCCGGCCCCGCUCCUGGGCGUCUUCUUCGACAUCUACGACUCCGCCAUGCCCGCCUUCGUGCCUAACCGCCACUGGUCCGAUCCAGACCACACUGCCGCCGUCCGCGGCGCCGACGUCUUCCUCACACGCGUCCCCGACGUUGAAGACGAAGGGUCCGACUCGGAGCAUGCCACUGCCGUCCGCGGCGCCGACGUCUUCCUCACCCGUGUCCACGAAGACGAAAGCGACGGCGACGAAGAAGGUGAAGUCGAAGGCGGAUACAAAAGCCCCGGGUGGUCGAUGACCUCGUGCCGCGACGGAUACGUGGUUCUCGUCAACCAGAGCACCAAGCGGACGGCCGUCUACGACCCGCUCACACGGUGCCUGCAUCUCCUCCGCGCGCCGCCCGUUGAGACCCGCGAAGACGCCGAAUCUGAGUUCGUCGUGGUCACCCCCGAAGAGGACCCCGGGUCGUUCCGCGUCGUGUGCAUCUCCAUGGAAAUGAGGGCAGCGAGUGUGUUUUGGCUUUCGGUUUGCAUUUUUUUUCGCCCCUGGACGAGAUGGACGAAAUUCGGCCAUUUAAAAAAUUCCGGUCAAAUCUCGGACGAAAUUACAAAACUAAAAUUUGAAUUUUAA
rnacentral:rRNA from 1 species